rnacentral:rRNA from 1 species
GACGAACGCUGGCGGCGUGCUUAACACAUGCAAGUCGAGCGGUAAGGCCUCUUCGGGGGUACACGAGCGGCGAACGGGUGAGUAACACGUGGGUGACCUGCCCUCAGCUCUGGGAUAAGCCUGGGAAACUGGGUCUAAUACCGGAUAUGACCUUUCCUCGCAUGGGGUUUGGUGGAAAGUUUUUUCGGCUGGGGAUGGGCCCGCGGCCUAUCAGCGUGUUGGUGGGGUGAUGGCCUACCAAGGCGACGACGGGUAGCCGGCCUGAGAGGGCAACCGGCCAAACUGUGACUGAGACACGGCUCGGGCUCCUACGGGGGGCAGCAGUGUGGACUAUUGCGCAAUGUGCGGAAUCCUGACUCAGCGACGCCGCGUGGGGGAUGACGGCCUUCGUAUUGUAAACCUCUUUCGACCCCGACGAAUUUGUGCGGUGGGGGUAGAAGAAGCACCGGCCAGCUACGUG